rnacentral:rRNA from 1 species
CCUACGGGUGGCAGCAGUGAGGAAUAUUGGUCAAUGGGCGCGAGCCUGAACCAGCCAAGUCGCGUGAGGGAAGACGGUCCUAUGGAUUGUAAACCUCUUUUGUCGGGGAGCAAAAGACGCCACGCGUGGCGUUCCGAGAGUACCCGAAGAAAAAGCAUCGGCUAACUCCGUGCCAGCAGCCGCGGUAAUACGGAGGAUGCGAGCGUUAUCCGGAUUUAUUGGGUUUAACGGGUGCGCAGGCGGAAGAUAAAGUCAGCGGGAAAAUUGAGAGGCUCAACCUCUUCGAGCCGUUGAAACUGGUUUUCUUGAGUGAGUGAGAAGUAUGCGGAAUGCGUGGUGUAGCGGUGAAAUGCAUAGAUAUCACGAAGAACUCCGAUUGCGAAGGCAGCAUACCGGCGCUCAACUGACGCUCAUGCACGAAAGUGUGGGUAUCGAACAGGAUUAGAUACCCCAGUAGUC